rnacentral:misc_RNA from 1 species
GUAUUUUCAUGGCUUGACAUUUUUUUUUUUUUUUGUCUUUUUUAAAUUGCGUAUGGAAUUGACGAUUGUGUGCUAUUAAACAAUUUUUAUAUAAUGUCUGACUUUAACACGGAUCAAAGUUUUGCCAAACGCCUCCUCAAAUCGCAGGGAUGGAUGGAAGGAUCAGGACUCGGCAAAAACGCUCAAGGAAUCGUGGAUCCAGUGAAGCCCUCUCUUAAAUUUGAUACAACUGGAGUUGGCCAUGAUCAGGCUAAGGAGUUUACUGAUCAUUGGUGGGCAAGGGCAUAUGAUAAAGCGGCUAAGGAGAUUAAAGUGGAGCAUAAUGAUGACGGAUCUGUGGAUAUUAAAACCAAGAAAUCCUCCAAACGCCAAAAAAAGAAGAAGGAGAAAAAGGCUCUCUAUUCUGGAUUCAUCAAAUCUGCAACUCUCAACGAUGGUGCUCUUACAUCCAUUCCAAAAGAAGAGGAGGCAGAAGGAUCAAAUGAACGGAAUUCUAUAAAAGUUUUAUCAGACGAAGAGCUAUUUGCUGCAUGUGACGGUCUCACAGCACACAUGGGUGCAAGACAUGGUCAUAGCAUGUCUGCAAAGUACAAAAGAUUGGCAGAGUUGGAUAAACAGCUCAUGGAUAGCAUUGAGGAGAAGAAACGAAGGAAGAAAAAAUAAUAGAUAAUAACCGAUUAUUUAUAGCUUUCCGUGUCAAAAUACAUUCAGUUGUAAAAGGACUCAAUUGUUAUUCAAGAAUUUGAUUAUGAAGUUUGGAUUUCAUAUUUUAUUAGACAACAUGUUUGUGUUUCUUUUAACAUUUGCUUUCAAAACCGUUCAAUAUGUAUGAUAGUCGAGGAGUACAUUACAUUUGUUGGUAUAAUGGCCAAAUUUUCUUCAUUAUUUUGACGAUAAUUAUUUAAAACUUCAAUUCUCGAAAAAAAAUUAUUGACAAAUGAACUUGUUCUUUCUGAGUAUCAUGAAAAUUAUUAAUGGAUAUUAUCAAUUUUCAUUCAAUCUAAUGGAGUUUAAAUACGUUAAAGACUAUUUUUUAGGAUGACAGCAUAUAAAUUAUCAAAAGAAGUGACUCUUUCUCUAGUGUGCAGUUAGACAAACUGAUAAAUUAGAAUAAUUUGCUCUAUAUAGAAAAUAUAACCUAAUAGAAACAUAGAUAUAUUAUUCGCUAAAGUAAUUCUAUAGAGGGUAUGGGAAAAUGUUUCUGUAGAUAUUUUGCUGAUCAAAAAAAAAAGUUAUAUAUAUAUAUUGAGAUCAUAAG